ensembl:snoRNA snoRNA:Me28S-A3365
UAUUGUAUGAUCAACAGGAAACUGAGCGGAACAGGUGAAUUUUUCUGAAAUAAUUCUAAAAUGCUUGAAUAUGAAGAAGUUUUCGAUUGAUGACUGAAUCC